GACGAACGCUGGCGGCGUGCUUAACACAUGCAAGUCGAACGAUGAAGCCUAGCUUGCUGGGUGGAUUAGUGGCGAACGGGUGAGUAACACGUGAGUAACCUGCCCUUGACUCUGGGAUAAGCGUUGGAAACGACGUCUAAUACUGGAUACGACCUGCAACCGCAUCGUCUGUGGGUGGAAAGAUUUUUUGGUUGAGGAUGGACUCGCGGCCUAUCAGCUUGUUGGUGAGGUAAUGGCUCACCAAGGCGACGACGGGUAGCCGGCCUGAGAGGGUGACCGGCCACACUGGGACUGAGACACGGCCCAGACUCCUACGGGAGGCAGCAGUGGGGAAUAUUGCACAAUGGGCGCAAGCCUGAUGCAGCAACGCCGCGUGGGGGAUGACGGCCUUCGGGUUGUAAACCUCUUUUAGUAGGGAAGAAGCGAAAGUGACGGUACCUGCAGAAAAAGCACCGGCUAACUACGUGCCAGCAGCCGCCGUAAUAC
rnacentral:rRNA from 1 species